GAAGGCCCUUCAGGAAGUGGAGGCUGAGAAAGGGCCAGGCAAGGAGAAGUUCUGUGGGAGGCAAGGCCUGUGAGGGAUGGAGGGAAGGAACCGCGAGGAAACCCUUUGAGAAAGCAACCUUACGAGGAAGAAUCCCAAGGCUCAGGAAGUGAACAGAUUCAUCUCCUACAGCACAACUAAUAGGUAAUGUACGAGGAUAAGGAUCUCUGGCAGCCCAGCUCCCAACUCUCAGGUUUUAACUACACUGCAGAGCCACCUCCAGGAAGCAGAAAUAGGCAGAAGCAGUGAUGACAACCCUAUGCCUUUGCUCAUGAAGUUUCCUAUCACUCAUUUCACUCCACUCCUGUCAAGUCUUCGGAAGGAAUUUUGGAUGUUCCCUGACUCCAGGUUUAAGGACUCUUCCACCAAAAGGUUAUAAAGUAAAUGUUUACAGUAAUCUUUGCCCACCUUGGACUGUUCCUAUCUCUGGUAUUUCACCACGAUCAGAGUCUAAGAUCAUUUGGCAAACAUUUUAAGGAAAUAAAAGGUAUGAAAAUCCCUUUAUUGAGGUCAGAACUAUGGAGUUACAGAGAGACUU